rnacentral:rRNA from 1 species
AACGAACGCUGGCGGCGUGCUUAACACAUGCAAGUCGAACGGAAAGGCCCUGCUUUUGUGGGGUGCUCGAGUGGCGAACGGGUGAGUAACACGUGAGUAACCUGCCCUUGACUUUGGGAUAACUUAAGGAAACUGGGGCUAAUACCGGAUAGGAGCUCCUGCUGCAUGGUGGGCGUUGGACAGUUUCGGCGGUUGGGGAUGGACUCGCGGCUUAUCAGCUUGUUGGUGGGGUAGUGGCAUACCAAGGCUUUGACGGGUAGCCGGCCUGGGAGGGUGACCGGCCACAUUGGGACUGAGAGACGGCCCAGACUCCUACGGUAGGCAGCAGUGGGGAAUAUUGCACAAUGGGCGGAAGCCUGAUGCAGCAACGCCGCGUGCGGGAUGACGGCCUUCGGGUUGUAAACCGCUUUCGCCUGUGACGAAGCGUUAGUGACGGUAAUGGGUAAAGAAGCACCGGCUAACUACGUG